UUCUUCAGAAAAAAACAAAAGAAAGAGCUCUCAACUCUCUCCCUCAACCCCCAUGGCCGGGCUAGCUCCGGUUGUCGGUCCACCGUGGCGGCCGCCGUACACAGGGGCCGAAAAAUAAAAAAAAAACUAUUUUUAUUUUUAUUUUUUUCAGCUUCCAAGCCUAAAGGCGUCGUUUUUCAUCAGAAACGACGAACCUCGGCAACCCAUGGCAUCGAGAUUCGAAGAGUCAGGUACGGAGGUGUUUGCUAGCACUUGGUGGUGUACAGGCGUGUUGACAUGGAGGUGGAGGCGGCGGCUAGCAUUAGGCAGACCUAGGGUUUCUUCUAGCUGAAAAUGUUUUAGGUUUUGUGGGUUAGGGUUUAGUUUGGGCCUGGGGUUAAUUUCGGUUAGUUUUAGGAUUUGGGUUUUAAAUUUGUUUUGGACUUGGAUAUUUUAUUUAUUUUGAGUUUUAUUCUAUAGAUUGGGCUAGGCCAAAAUUGGCCUAUUACAAGGUGAAUUAAACAUAUUGUAAUAGUUAUUAAUUAAUACAAUUAUGUUAAGUUAUUGA